UACGUAGGGUGCAAGCGUUGUCCGGAAUUAUUGGGCGUAAAGGGCUCGUAGGCGGUUUGUUGCGUCGGCUGUGAAAUCCCGAGGCUCAACCUCGGGUCUGCAGUCGAUACGGGCAAACUAGAGUGUUGCAGGGGAGAGUGGAAUUCCUGGUGUAGCGGUGAAAUGCGCAGAUAUCAGGAGGAACACCGGUGGCGAAGGCGGGGCUCUGGGCAACAACUGACGCUGAGGAGCGAAAGCGUGGGGAGCAAACAGG
rnacentral:rRNA from 1 species